UGGUAAUGCCGGAUGCUCCAUCACACCGCAUGGUGUGUUGGGAAAGCCUUUGCGGCAUGGGAUGGGGUCGCGUCCUAUCAGCUUGAUGGCGGGGUAACGGCCCACCAUGGCUUCGACGGGUAGCCGGCCUGAGAGGGCGACCGGCCACAUUGGGACUGAGAUACGGCCCAGACUCCUACGGGAGGCAGCAGUGGGGAAUAUUGCACAAUGGGCGCAAGCCUGAUGCAGCGACGCCGCGUGAGGGAUGGAGGCCUUCGGGUUGUAAACCUCUUUUGUUAGGGAGCAAGGCAUUUUGUGUUGAGUGUACCUUUCGAAUAAGCACCGGCUAACUACGUGCCAGCAGCCGCGGUAAUACGUAGGGUGCAAGCGUUAUCCGGAAUUAUUGGGCGUAAAGGGCUCGUAGGCGGUUCGUCGCGUCCGGUGUGAAAGUCCAUCGCUUAACGGUGGAUCCGCGCCGGGUACGGGCGGGCUUGAGUGCGGUAGGGGAGACUGGAAUUCCCGGUGUAACGGUGGAAUGUGUA
rnacentral:rRNA from 1 species